rnacentral:rRNA from 1 species
AAUGAACGCUGGCGGCAUGCCUAGCACAUGCAAGUCGAACGAGACCUUCGGGUCUAGUGGCGCACGGGUGCGUAACGCGUGGGAACCUGCCCUUAGGUUCGGAAUAACUCCCCGAAAGGGGUGCUAAUACCGGAUAAUGUCUUCGGACCAAAGAUUUAUCGCCUUUGGAUGGGCCCGCGUUGGAUUAGCUAGUUGGUAGGGUAAAAGCCUACCAAGGCGACGAUCCAUAGCUGGUCUGAGAGGAUGAUCAGCCACACUGGGACUGAGACACGGCCCAGACUCCUACGGGAGGCAGCAGUGGGGAAUAUUGGACAAUGGGCGAAAGCCUGAUCCAGCAAUGCCGCGUGAGUGAUGAAGGCCUUAGGGUUGUAAAGCUCUUUUACCCGGGAUGAUAAUGACAGUACCGGGAGAAUAAGCUCCGGCUAACUCCGUG